rnacentral:rRNA from 1 species
GGGGAAAAUUUAAUAAAUAAAUAAUAAUAAAAAAAUUUUUAAUAUUGGGGGAUAUUAAAGUAUUUUUGAAAGAAAAAAUAAAAAAAAUUAUAGUUAAUUAGUAUUGUAGAAGAAAAUUGAAAUAAGUGAAAAUAAAUUAAUAGUAAAGUAAUUUUUAUUUAAUGUAUCUUGUGUAUCAGAGUUUAUUAAAAAAUAUUUUUUUAAAAAAAAAAUCUCGAAUUUAAAAGAGUUAAUUAAUUAAAAAAUUUAAUGUUGAAUAAUUAUUUUAAAUAAUUAAUUAGAAAUGAAAUGUUAAUCGUUUUUAAAUAUAUCUAGUUUUUUUAGAAAUAAAUUUAAUUUAAAAUUUAAAAAAUUUUAUUAUAAAUUAAUUAAUAAUAAAAUAUUUAAAAUUAAAUAUAUUAAGGGAUAAGCUUUAAUAUAAAAAUUUAUAAUUAAAAAUUGAUUUAAAUAAAAAUUUUAAAAUUUAUAUUGUUUAUAAAUUAUAAUUUAUUAUAAAAAAUUUUAUUUAAAAUAAAAUUUAAUAAGAAAAAUUUAAUUUUUUAUAAAAUAAAUAAUUUUUAAUAAAAAAAAAUUAGUAAUAAUGAUAAAAUUAGUAUAUUAAAAUAAAAUAUAAUUAAAUUAAUAAAAAUUAAAUUAAAGGAAUUCGGCAAAAAUAUGUGUUCACUUGUUUAUCAAAAACAUGUCUUUUAGAAAAUAAUUUAAAGUCUAAUCUGCCCACUGAUAUUUAUAUUAAAGGGCUGCAGUAUAUUGACUGUACAAAGGUAGCAUAAUCAAUAGUCUUUUAAUUGAAGACUUGUAUGAAGGAUUUGAUGAAAUAUAAACUGUCUCUAAUUUAUUUAUAGAAAUUAAUUUUUUAGUUAAAAAGCUAAAAUUUAUUUAAAAGACGAGAAGACCCUAUAGAGUUUUAUAUUAAUUUUAAUUAAGAUUAUUUAUAUAAAUAAAAAUUAAAAAUAAAAUUAAUAUUUUAUUGGGGUGAUAAAAAAAUUAAAAUAACUUUUUUUAAAGUAAAAACAAAAUAAAUGAAAAGUUGAUCCAUAAUUUGUGAUUAAAAGAAAUAAUUACCUUAGGGAUAACAGCGUAAUAUUUUUUUUUAGUACAAAUAAAAAAAAAAGUUUGCGACCUCGAUGUUGGAUUAAGAUAAAAUUUAAAUGCAAAAGUUUAAAAUUUUGAUCUGUUCGAUCAUUAAAAUCUUACAUGAUCUGAGUUCAAACCGGUGUGAGCCAGGUUGGUUUCUAUCUUUAGAAAUAUAAAAUAUUUUAGUACGAAAGGAUCAAAUAUUUUUAAUAAUUAAAUUUAAUUGAAUAUUAAUAAAUAUAUUAU